GAUGAACGCUGGCGGCGUGCCUAAUACAUGCAAGUCGAGCGAACAGAUAAGGAGCUUGCUCCUUUGACGUUAGCGGCGGACGGGUGAGUAACACGUGGAUAACCUACCUAUAAGACUGGGAUAACUUCGGGAAACCGGAGCUAAUACCGGAUAACAUAUUGAACCGCAUGGUUCAAUAGUGAAAGGCGGCUUUGCUGUCACUUAUAGAUGGAUCCGCGCCGUAUUAGCUUGUUGGUAAGGUAACGGCUUACCAAGGCAACGAUACGUAGCCGACCUGAGAGGGUGAUCGGCCACACUGGAACUGAGACACGGUCCAGACUCCUACGGGAGGCAGCAGUAGGGAAUCUUCCGCAAUGGGCGAAAGCCUGACGGAGCAACGCCGCGUGAGUGAUGAAGGUCUUCGGAUCGUAAAACUCUGUUAUCAGGGAAGAACAAAUGUGUAAGUAACUGUGCACAUCUUGACGGUACCUGAUCAGAAAGCCACGGCUAACUACGUG
rnacentral:rRNA from 1 species